rnacentral:rRNA from 1 species
GCGGAGGAAAAGAAACCAACAGGGAUUGCCUCAGUAACGGCGAGUGAAGCGGCAACAGCUCAAAUUUGAAAUCUGACCCCUUCGGGGCCCGAGUUGUAAUUUGUAGAGGGUGUUUCGGGCGCGGCGCCGGUCUAAGUUCCUUGGAACAGGACGUCAUAGAGGGUGAGAAUCCCGUAUGUGACCGGCGAUCAAGCCCAUGUGAAGCCCCUUCGACGAGUCGAGUUGUUUGGGAAUGCAGCUCAAAAUGGGUGGUAAAUUCCAUCUAAAGCUAAAUAUUGGCCGGAGACCGAUAGCGGACAAGUAGAGUGAUCGAAAGAUGAAAAGCACUUUGGAAAGAGAGUCAAACAGUACGUGAAAUUGUUGAAAGGGAAGCGCUUGCGACCAGACCGGUCCGGGGGUGAUCAGCCGCUGCUCGUCAGCUGGUGCACUCGCCCUCGAUCCGGCCAGCAUCGGUUUGGGCGGUGGGAGAAAAGCCCCGGGAAUGUAGCUUCUUUCGGGGAGUCUUAUAGCCCGGGGCGCAAUGCCGCCCGCCCGGACCGAGGACCGCGCUUCGGCUAGGAUGCUGGCGUAAUGGUUGCAAGCGACCCGUCUUGAAACACGGACCAAGGAGUCUAACAUCUAUGCGAGUGUUUGGGUGUCAAACCCAGGCGCGGAAUGAAAGUGAACGGAGGUGGGAGCCUGUCAAACGGCGCACCAUCGACCGAUCCAGAUGUCUUCGGAUGGAUUUGAGUAUGAGCAUAGCUGUUGGGACCCGAAAGAUGGUGAACUAUGCCCGGAUAGGGUGAAGCCAGAGGAAACUCUGGUGGAGGCUCGCAGCGGUUCUGACGUGCAAAUCGAUCGUCAAAUCUAGGCAUAGGGGCGAAAGACCA